AGGUCUAUUGUUGUAUUAGCUGGUCUUCUUAGGAUAUUUGGUCGUGAGGUAGCCAAGCUUCCCAUAAUGGCGACAACUAGAGAACACCAAGGGAAAGGCUAUUUCCAAGUAUUAUUUUCAUGUAUAGAGAAGUUGUUGGUUUCCCUGAAUGUGGAAAACAUUAUGCUUCCUGCUGCUGAGGAAGCAGAGUCAAUCUGGACAAACAAGUUUGGAUUCACAAAGAUGAAUGAUGAUUGACUGUCAAAGUAUAUGAGAGAGGUGCAGUUUACAAUUUUCAAGGGAACAUCCAUGCUGGAAAAGGCAGUGCAGCAACAACAACACAUAAUAAUACCACCAGAAUAGCUUAGCAUACAUUGAAAGAUGGGGUUCCUCACUUGGUUGUGUACACUGCAUUCUUUUACUUCUCAAUAUCUUGUUUUAUCCUUGCUAUAAUCCUCACAUCACAUUCCUUUACUACCCUGUGCUAGACUUACCGAAACCAUCAUUC